GCAUAUCAAUAAGCGGAGGAAAAGAAACCAACCGGGAUUGCCUUAGUAACGGCGAGUGAAGCGGCAAAAGCUCAAAUUUGAAAUCUGGUACCUUCGGUGCCCGAGUUGUAAUUUGGAGAGGGCAACUUUGGGGCCGUUCCUUGUCUAUGUUCCUUGGAACAGGACGUCAUAGAGGGUGAGAAUCCCGUGUGGCGAGGAGUGCGGUUCUUUGUAAAGUGCCUUCGAAGAGUCGAGUUGUUUGGGAAUGCAGCUCUAAGUGGGUGGUAAAUUCCAUCUAAAGCUAAAUAUUGGCGAGAGACCGAUAGCGAACAAGUACAGUGAUGGAAAGAUGAAAAGAACUUUGAAAAGAGAGUGAAAAAGUACGUGAAAUUGUUGAAAGGGAAGGGCAUUUGAUCAGACAUGGUGCUUUGUGCCCUCUGCUCCUUGUGGGUAGGGGAAUCUCGCAUUUCACUGGGCCAGCAUCAGUUUUGGUGGCAGGAUAAAUCCAUAGGAAUGUAGCUUGCCUCGGUAAGUAUUAUAGCCUGUGGGAAUACUGCCAGCUGGGACUGAGGACUGCGACGUAAGUCAAGGAUGCUGGCAUAAUGGUUAUAUGCCGCCCGUCUUGAAACACGGACC
rnacentral:rRNA from 1 species